ensembl:lncRNA
CAACAAUACCAUUUUUUAUUUCCUUUUUUAAAAAUCUUUAUGGGGUCUUCUAAUUCUAGAGUGCACUUUAUUCAGCAUCAGACAUUAUUAUCCCUGGAACACUGUUUCAUAACGUAUUAGAGACUAGUUCCCUUGGUCUGUCUUAAUGGGGUGCUCUGUGUUUGGUCAAAGGUUCCCAGGGAGAGGAGGGUUUUGAUCUGAAUGAGCGGGGUGAAAACAUGGCAUCACUGGCGGCGGUGGAUAUAGACACUGAGAGAUACCAGUAAUUGAAAAGGGUCCCUCUGAAGUUAAUAUCAAACAAAGAAAAAAACUGGCCAUAUGGUGCUCCUGUUUUUUUAUGCCUGACAUAACCACAGACUGAUAGUAUUUUGAUAACAUUUGUUGGAAAUAACAAGUUGUUUAAUAUUGGAAUUUAUUUGAGGAUAUCAUUUGGAAAGUUAUUAUAUCUCAUCUUAGUAAGGAUGAACAGAGAUUCAACCCCAGCCUCAGUGGGGUUAGGUCUUGUCAGGGCAUUACCACUAGAUCACUAGCUCUGCACUCAAAUCAAUAUUAGAAUUUAGUUUUUUAUUUCAAAAUAAUUGUAAAGGCAUGUAGUAGUUUUGUUUGAAAUAACUUAUAGUAUUGGUCUAAUAUUACUUCACAAUUUGCCGCCCUUAAUUUACAUUGGUGUCUCAUGAAAUAAGACAAGAUGCCAUGUUACAUGUCAGGGUUUCAAAAAGCUCUUUAGACAUUAAGCUAUCUGGUCUGAAGAUAAGCCCUUUAAUGCUGAGAAGUAGCUUCACAGCUGCAGAGCAUGCUGGCACAUUUAAGUACGUCAGUAGAAACAACAGACACAGUAUUGGGUAAGUGAGGCUGUGUGUUAAGUUGGGUUUCCUAUUGAGAAAGCACUGGGUGAGGUACAGUAGGAGGUGAUGCUUGGGGGCAGGUGUUCUGGUUGAGCAACAAUAAUAGGGACAAAGACAGGUUUCAUAUUAAGUUCAAUCGAGAUAGCAAUAAAAAUGUAGGAAUGUGACAUGGAAUUUUAGGACCUAUGUGGUUAUCUCUAAAUCAAUAAACUGUAUUUGAAAUGACUGUAAAAUGUGCCUUUAAUGUUUGUUGAACACAUGUACAUGACUAAAAAGCUAGUGCAUCAAAUACAUUUCCAUUUAUUUUAUUUCAGCAUUGGUACUCAGCUUACUUGCAGAUUGAUAAAGAAGCUUGUGCGUUGUUUUGCAAGACCACAAACUGGCUAUUGAGUCUAAAGAGUGUAUUUAUACGUUUGUAGCUCCAUCUGUUAAGUCGAAGCAUUCGUUUUUUUUUACUUCAGAAAACAGUGACCCACAAUUAUGAACUAUUUUAUAUGCAACUUAGGCCAUAAAGACAACAAUAGAUGUUUAACUUUUUUC